AGAGUUUGAUCCUGGCUCAGAACGAACGCUGGCGGCAGGCUUAACACAUGCAAGUCGAACGCGUGUAGCAAUACACGAGUGGCGCACGGGUGAGUAACGCGUGGAUAUCUGCCUUUUGGUUCGGAAUAACCCCGGGAAACUGGGGCUAAUACCGGAUGGUUCCUUCGGGAUAAGAUUUAUCGCCAAAAGAUGAGUCCGCGUACGAUUAGCUAGUUGGUGAGGUAAUGGCUCACCAAGGCGACGAUCGUUAGCUGGUCUGAGAGGACGAUCAGCCACACUGGGACUGAGACACGGCCCAGACCCCUACGGGAGGCAGCAGUGGGGAAUAUUGGACAAUGGGGGCAACCCUGAUCCAGCCAUGCCGCGUGAGUGAUGAAGGCCUUCGGGUUGUAAAGCUCUUUUGGCGGGGACGAUGAUGACGGUACCCGCAGAAUAAGCCCCGGCUAACUUCGUGCCAGCAGCCGCGGUAAGACGAAGGGGGCUAGCGUUGUUCGGAAUUACUGGGCGUAAAGCGCGUGUAGGCGGUUAUCCAAGUCGGGUGUGAAAGCCUUGAGCUUAACUCAAGAAAUGCACUCGGUACUGGGUGACUAGAGGACCGGAGAGGAUAGUGGAAUUCCCAGUGUAGUGGUGAAAUACGUAGAGAUUGGGAAGAACACCAGUGGCGAAGGCGGCUAUCUGGACGGUUUCUGACGCUAAGACGCGAAAGCGUGGGGAGCAAACAGGAUUAGAUACCCUGGUAGUCCACGCCGUANACGAUGGGUGCUAGACGUUGGCGAGCUUGCUCGUCAGUGUCGCAGCUAACGCGUUAAGCACCCCGCCUGGGGAGUACGGCCGCAAGGUUAAACUCAAAGGAAU
rnacentral:rRNA from 1 species